CAGAUGUCUGUUGUUUGUGUGAGAGAGCAGAAAGGGGCCUACCGAAAAGAUAAUGUGGGGGGCUUCGAUCCCACCCCCUCUGUACCAUAACAAUUAAAAGUUUAAGUUGCCUGGUAACGGUAACCCCCAGAAUCCUCUAUCCCCUACUGCUUCAACUGCUUGGCUGUUGCCCCGUGGCUGGACGUGCAGGUGCACAGAUCGUGACGGAAUUGGCAAAUUCCUAAUUGCAGAUACUACGGUACGGCUACCACCAAAACUAUUUAUGCAAAUACAACGCUUCUCCGAUUGUUACAGCUCUGUUCUCUGGGGAGUGCUGGAAAGAGCUUGCGGAGCGGGUGUGUGUGCUUACAAAUAAUCAUUGACGUAGUGAGCGGUAUGUAGUGGUAGUGGCAAACAGUGGCAGACAGCAGCAGGCGGCAGCAAUUACUUGUGAUAACGGCAAACAUUAAUUGUAUUGUCAAAAAGCAUCCCCAUCCCCCACCCGCUUUGCCAUAUAAAUUGUCGUUGCGCCUGAUAAAUUACACUAAUCGCUGCCGAUGCCAUGCCGAGACGAUUGAGCUUGCUUUUGCACCCCGCCUCCACACACACACGGCACGGCAAGACACGAUCUGAGAGCAGAAGAUUUCGAGUACAGUAUGCACAUUCCCAAGAAUAGGGAUGGGGAUGAAAUAUAAUGGAGCUGAACAGAUUACACUAGCGUGCACACAACAUAAAUAAAUGCCAUUCCGGAAAUAUCUACAUUCCAGUGUCCAGCUGACACGUCCCGUUGUAUGGACUGCUUUCCCUGCUUGGACUGCUUGAAUAAAUCGUUGGCGCAUAUAAGAAACCAAGCAACGUUUUGGUAAAGGGAGAGUAUAGAGUAUAUUUUAUCUGUGUUAAACAAAAUGUAAUAUAUUAUAUAUAUAUAUAUUCUUGAUCAGCUUCAAUAGCCGAGUCGAUAUAGCCAUGUCUGUCUGUCCGUCUAGAUCCACCAAAUUUUGUGUGAAGACUCAUGUGAUAUCACAAUGAAUAAAGUUUGUUUCGAAAAUUCGCACCGCUCUCUUCCGCCCCCACAAACGGCGAAAGUCUGUUGUAUCCACAACAUUGCAGAUAAGAGAAAACUAAAAACUUAGGUCCUUAGGUAAUGACCAUUUUCUCAUUCCACACUCUGGGUCGUGCAGUGUGCGGCUCCUUGGGAGGGGGGCGAGCUAAAAGAGCGUGUUGGCAUGAGAAGUGAUGUAGAUUUAGAUGACAGAUGUAGAAAUUAUGUAAAAUGUCAAAUGUAAAAUUUAACGAGAAGGGACGUGUGAGACGCUCUUACGCGUCACAACUUUUAUACCCGUCACUCAGGACUACAUCUAGAUGUAAAAGACAUCGCCAACCACUACACAUCGUUCACAUUACAGAACACGUAGUAAAAAGCCUACUACAUAAAAUGCAUCAAGAAAAUUGGAUCAGUUAAUCGUAUUUUCCAAUUUAUGCGAUAUUUAAAACAGC
rnacentral:lncRNA from 1 species